GACGAACGCUGGCGGCGUGCCUAAUACAUGCAAGUAGAACGCUGAAGGAGGAGCUUGCUUCUCUGGAUGAGUUGCGAACGGGUGAGUAACGCGUAGGUAACCUGCCUGGUAGCGGGGGAUAACUAUUGGAAACGAUAGCUAAUACCGCAUAAUAGCAGUUGUUGCAUGACAACUGUUUGAAAGGUGCAAUUGCACCACUACCAGAUGGACCUGCGUUGUAUUAGCUAGUUGGUGGGGUAACGGCUCACCAAGGCGACGAUACAUAGCCGACCUGAGAGGGUGAUCGGCCACACUGGGACUGAGACACGGACCAGACUCCUACGGGAGGCAGCAGUAGGGAAUCUUCGGCAAUGGACGGAAGUCUGACCGAGCAACGCCGCGUGAGUGAAGAAGGUUUUCGGAUCGUAAAGCUCUGUUGUAAGAGAAGAACGAGUGUGAGAGUGGAAAGUUCACACUGUGACGGUAUCGUACCAGAAAGGAACGGCUAACUACGU
rnacentral:rRNA from 1 species